rnacentral:rRNA from 2 species
AAUCCAUAGGUUAAUGAGGCGAACCGGGGGAACUGAAACAUCUAAGUACCCCGAGGAAAAGAAAUCAACCGAGAUUCCCCCAGUAGCGGCGAGCGAACGGGGAGGAGCCCAGAGCCUGAAUCAGCAUGUGUGUUAGUGGAAGCGUCUGGAAAGGCGCGCGAUACAGGGUGACAGCCCCGUACACAAAAGCGCAUGUGCUGUGAGCUCGAUGAGUAGGGCGGGACACGUGGUAUCCUGUCUGAAUAUGGGGGGACCAUCCUCCAAGGCUAAAUACUCCUGACUGACCGAUAGUGAACCAGUACCGUGAGGGAAAGGCGAAAAGAACCCCGGCGAGGGGAGUGAAAAAGAACCUGAAACCGUGUACGUACAAGCAGUGGGAGCACAGGUUUACCUGUGUGACUGCGUACCUUUUGUAUAAUGGGUCAGCGACUUAUAUUCUGUAGCAAGGUUAACCGAAUAGGGGAGCCGUAGGGAAACC